UACGUAGGGGGCAAGCGUUGUCCGGAUUUAUUGGGCGUAAAGAGCGUGUAGGCGGCCGUACAGGUCAGCUGUGAAAACUCGAGGCUCAACCUCGAGACGUCGGUUGAAACCGUACGGCUAGAGUCCGGAAGAGGAGAGUGGAAUUCCCGGUGUAGCGGUGAAAUGCGCAGAUAUCAGGAGGAACACCGGUGGCGAAGGCGGGUCUCUGGGCCGAUAUUGACGCUGAGGAGCGAAAGCGUGGGGAGCGAACAGG
rnacentral:rRNA from 1 species